rnacentral:tRNA from 1 species
GUCCGGGUGGCUCAGUCAGUUGAGCGUCUGACUUCGGCUCAGGUCAUGAUCUCGCGGUCCGUGAGUUCGAGCCCCGCGUCGGACU